rnacentral:rRNA from 1 species
GCAGCAGUGGGGAAUUUUCCGCAAUGGGCGAAAGCCUGACGGAGCAACGCCGCGUGAGGGACGAAGGCCUCUGGGCUGUAAACCUCUUUUCUCAAGGAAGAAGAUAUGACGGUACUUGAGGAAUAAGCCACGGCUAAUUCCGUGCCAGCAGCCGCGGUAAUACGGGAGUGGCAAGCGUUAUCCGGAAUUAUUGGGCGUAAAGCGUCCGCAGGCGGCUUUUCAAGUCUGCUGUUAAAACGUGGAGCUUAACUCCAUCAUGGCAGUGGAAACUGAAAGGCUUGAGUAUGGUAGGGGCAGAGGGAAUUCCCGGUGUAGCGGUGAAAUGCGUAGAUAUCGGGAAGAACACCAGUGGCGAAGGCGCUCUGCUGGGCCAUUACUGACGCUCAUGGACGAAAGCCAGGGGAGCGAAAGGGAUUAGAUACCCCUGUAGUCCUGGCCGUAAACGAUGAACACUAGGUGUCGGGGGAAUCGACCCCUUCGGUGUCGUAGCUAACGCGUUAAGUGUUCCGCCUGGGGAGUACGCACGCAAGUGUGAAACUCAAAGGAAUUGACGGGGGCCCGCACAAGCGGUGGAGUAUGUGGUUUAAUUCGAUGCAACGCGAAGAACCUUACCAGGGUUUGACAUCCUGCGAACCUCUUAGAAAUUUGAGGGUGCCUUCGGGAAUGCAGUGACAGGUGGUGCAUGGCUGUCGUCAGCUCGUGUCGUGAGAUGUUGGGUUAAGUCCCGCAACGAGCGCAACCCACGUUUUUAGUUGCCAGCAUUUAGUUGGGCACUCUAGAAAGACCGCCGGUGAUAAACCGGAGGAAGGUGUGGAUGACGUCAAGUCAUCAUGCCCCUUACACCCUGGGCUACACACGUACUACAAUGCUACGGACAAAGGGCAGCAAACUCGCGAGAGC